ACAAACAAACAAACUCUUCAGCUUUAUAUAUUAGUAUAGAUUUCUGACUACCGUGUAAAACAAUGUCAUUUUGUGAUCGAACACUCGGUAUUUCAUCGUAAAUUCUAAAAUUAAUAAUUAUUAUUGCUGACAAAGCAUAACUUUCAGAGUAUUGUAUUUAGUGCGAAAAAAACUUUUUGUUGAUUCUUCAAAUCCAACAGCUUAUAGUUUAGUCGAUAAUCAAGAUGAAGAUCAUUUUCUAAAACACCAACUAUAUCAUUAUAGGUAUAUAUCGUGGCCUUCUGGUUUCAUCUCACACAAGAACUUGUAGUUUACCGACACCUGAAAAGAAAUAUGACUGCUCUAUAGUAAAGUAGAUCUUCACUUUAGUUCCUUCCGACUACAAUCUUGAUUUCCCGCUUACACGUAUUUACUUAGAUUACUCGGUUUACUUGAUGUUAGUACUUAUCUUUCUCCUUUAUGCAGACUACUAUCAAAUUCUUGUGCUCUCCAUAAAGCUUCCAAGUACUUGCAUCGUAUUCACGCCAACAAAUUUAACUCGAAAAUUACCGUAUCAUAAAAUUUAUAUUAGGAUCCUCCAAAAAAUAUUAAUAAUAAAUAUUUAUAUUUUCAAAAUUAAACGCAAAAUAUGUACAUAAAUCAGUUAUCUGUGCCGUAAUUUUUACAAGUCACAUCCGAAUCCAUGAAAGCAUCGAGCGGUUUUAUCCCUAACUUUUUUUAAUACAUUGGCUUUGCCGACCAAUUCGAAUCCAAUUUACAUUUCAAUCGGGAGCUUCAUGUAAAAACAUGAGGCACGCGGAGCACGCUGCGCUGUAGAGGGCUUAUGAAAUAAUGUUACAUCGGGGCGCAAAUAGUCGUAUAAUAUAUUCUGUAUAGAGUACAUUAUAUUUUGUGCGCAUUCACCAAAAUAUUCCGCCGUAAUUCAUCGGAGACAUAGAAGGUGAAAGCUAUAAAUAUUUCUGAGCGUAAUUCCUGCUCACAGUGUAGCCUCGGUUAUGUUGCUUACGCUCAAGAGAUUUUCACUGUUCAGUCUUAUCUGUUUGAAGAAUUGCUAGAUUUUUAUGUACAUUCCAAUGUUUCGUUUUAGAUUUCAAGUUACAAGAGAAAAAAUAUUUACAGCACAUAAUGGAAUAAGGAAUUUUCCUGAAUUUGGCUCCGUUUUGAGUAAAGUAUUUUUAUUAGUGAAAUACUGCUUUGGAGUAUGCGGAUAGAGAAUGGAAGGCUGGAAAAAAUGUAGCUCAUUUUACUUGAUAAAAAGUAACUAUGGUAGUAGCUAACAACAUAUUAAAUGCACGUUAAUAUUUCCUGAACACGACAAGUUUGUAAAUUACAAAAUUCUCCUGUUUAAGGGAGAAAGACAAUACGAAGAAAAAUGAAAGCCUCAAAUUUCGAACUCUACCACUACACAUGUACCAAAAAUAACUAUAAACAAAUAAAGUCCCAAAACAAGUUGGCAUCACUGAAGGUAUCUCUUCACUUAAACAUGUAUGAAAGAAAAUACGUGGCGUGUUUCUCAGAAUAUACAUAUUUCCAGUGCACAUGAACCGCUGCAACGGCGAGCGUAGGGUUGUCACAAACAUACACAUAUUAAACAUGUCAUAGAAUCUCGGUAAAUAUGGAACGCAAAAAGUGUAUUUUCUCAUUUAUAGGGGGGAUUUUUUGUUCCUAAAUGAAACUUACUAGUAAUUUUGGAUACAUGGUUACAUAGUUUUCUUCUUUUGCGAAGUGUGUCGUGGUUUAAGUUCUCGAGAUUUGUGAGUCGCUAGGGCGCUGCAUCUCAAGGGUGGUAGCCCUAUUCACAGAUAAAGUUGCUAAGCGCGCAACUCGAGUGCGCGUUGUAAACUAGUUUUAUUCGGCCAUAACAAUGGUCCCGCGGGAUGCCAGAACAUGUCUCGUAUAGUCUCCAGCUUUACGCUUUUCUUUUUCGUGUAAUUUGCGACGAAGCGAUGGCUUUUAUACGUCGUUAAUUCAGAGUUGUUGAUGCUAAAGUACUUCGCAAUCGUUCUGAAUUGUAUGGUUGCUUUCAUCCGAGCUGUUUGUUCAACAAAUGUGUGAAACGUUUUAAGUUUCUAAACGUUGCUUUUUCUAUUGAAGACUUACUUUACUUUUCCAUUGAAUGAAAUAAACUAUUACGUUCUUUUAUAAUAUUGCUUUUACAUUGACGUCACGACGCAAACAAAAGUACAAAACAUUGUAAAUUUCUCAUUAUAUUCGUGUUUUCUAGACCAUUUUAUGAGAGGUUUCAUUUCGCCGCUUGUUCAAUGUUAAACCUAAUUUUACAGAAUAAUACGAGUAGGUACGAAGUACAACAUUAACAGUAAUAUAAAAGAAAACAAUUUCGUUAUUCUUAACUAUGAAACCGCAUUAUACUCAGUCGGCCCGAGUACUUUUUCCAAGGAUUAUGUUAACGUGCAACCUCCAAAUUUACAUAAUCUGAAAAAUGAUAAAAUUUGCACUAGCUUCUCGUAAAUAUUCACAGUCGGCUUAUCACGUCAACAUUUACUGAAAGCACCUCCAUUAUAAAAUAUAUUUUUUUAUCACCCACGCAAUAUUCUAAUUUUAUUUUUUAUUUGGCAAAUGUUAAACAAAUGCAUAGCGAAACUCGACCUUACGGCUUUUGCUAAACAUUAAUUAAAUCUAUCAACAUAGGACAUGUAAAUAGGAUUGUAAAUCGAAUAAAAAGCACGUUGAGAGACGAUGGACUGUUAAUUAGUAACCGAUUUGCAGUGAACUCGAGUUGGAUGCACCGCACGACUAAGCUUGCUUUGCUUGAGUGAUUAGUGAGAUGGAUUUCCAGCUUUCUAUCUACUAACUAGAUUAGAUAAAUAAUUAAGGAUUAGACAAUAAACAUACAUAGUACAUAUUUUGGACUCGUAGCUAUUUUCUUACGUAUAAUUAUAAUAUGCUGACAUUAAGCAGUAAAACAAUGUAUACCUCCGUUAGUAAAGUAGAUAUGUAUCUUGCAAUAGACCCAUCGUAGGCAAUAAAAUGCAUUGUGCAAGUUCUAAAUAAAAGAUUGCAACUAAACUCUGUUUUUGUCUUUUGCUAUGCUUUAACAAUCUUUUAAAUAAUUCCUGCAUAAAGCAAAAAUGUGAGUGAUCUGUGAUUUCUUAUUCUGAGUGUCGGUGUCUUGUAUAAUAUGUGACUUGAAUGUUCGUGAAGACCCAAUAAUACAAGAAUUCAAUUCAUUAGUGAAAAGCUUACUUUAAAAGAAAACGGAAUUUAGUAUUAUAUGUGAUCAGAAUUUCACAAUAUUGAAUGUAAGAAAUCAUACCGCACGUGAUAAAUUAUUUCAUAAAUGCUUGUUUGUUUCAGGUAUUCAACAAAGACUUUUAUAUUUUACCCACGUAAGCCUUGUUUGGACAUCCUCCGUAUUGUCCUUCGCGUAGGUAAUUAAACAAACGCAGUCAUAAAUUACAGGUACAGUUGAAAAAUAAAUGAAUUUUAAUUAAAAUAAACGCUUAAAGUUUAUUCGCGACGGUAAGAAUGAGAAAUGUGGACGUUUCUUGAAUGUUUCUAGUAUUAUUUGCCAAGGUUAUGUUUUCACCAAAACAAAUGCUUUAGUAUCAAAACAAAGAGAAGCGAGUGUCUCCUUAGAUAACUAAUUAGGUCAGACGAGGGUCAAGUCUGGUCACAGCGAUCUACUGAUAACCCAGCACGCGUUAUGUUGUGACGUCACAUCUUAAUUCCAAACACGUAUUUGUGUUUAUAUCGAAAGGCCGUACUAAAACGUUGGCGUAUACGUAUAAAUCAGAUUUGGGAAUGUGCAUAUACUUCUUCAUAAAUUGAGUGUCAAUAUCCAUCGUCGUUUAUUUUUUUGAUGCUAGGACAUAUGAUUUAUAAUAUAAGUGUGGCAGUAGAUACAGUACAUGUGUGUGCUAUAGGAAUAUAAUGCGCCAAUAACAUAAAUAACAUCAUAUUCAUUUAUUUGUUAUAUGAAUCGAACAUCAUUGCUCAGAAAUUUAGGACUAAAUAUCGUCUAUUCGGACGUGAUUCAAUGUUAUAAACGUCACUGAAUAUUAGUCUUGUCAUAUUUUGCAACCGUACGCCACAAUAUUAUGCUGAAUAAAAAAACAAAAAAAGACACGUGCUUUCAAAUCUCGCAAUAUUACGCAUUCGAAAUCGGUCACUGAACCUGCUACUACGUCAAAAUUUGAUGAUAAAAAAUUACUCGUGGCCAUCUCCUACUUAAAAUAUGACAUGAUAACCUUAUUUCUAGAUUAUUCAAGAAUAUCACUUUUGAUAUUCAAUCGAUGUCAAUGUUAAUGCCUAAUACCUAAUACUACAAAGAUAUUAUGACAAAUGUGAAUUCUCAGAAAUACCGAUGAGUAUGUUUGCCUUGAUUUUUUGUAGCUGUAUAUACUAGUUAAGCGACCGAUGACUUCAGUUAGUGAAAUAGGACGUACUUGAGUACUGAUUUGUCCAUGAUAAUGUUUAUAAGGAUCCGUGGAAAUUUUAGUUUCGUAAGCCACCAAACUUUUGAUGCAAAACUUUAAUAUCAGUCCAUUUCGACCACAAACACAUAUUUCAUUAACGACAUAUUUCAUUAACGCAGACAAAACAUUUUCCCAACGUUUAGUUGUUGGCCAGUUUUCUUAAAACGAAAUCCGCGUUACUUCUACUCGUAGCACCAAGAUUUAUCGUUGUAUCUAAGCCAUUCCACACUUGACUUUCUAUUUCCGGAGAAUCGCGCGGUAUCCUGUGGGAUCUUCGUUGCGAUAAAUGAGGAAACUUGCUUCCUUCGGCUUUGUCUUAGCUAAGUGGGAUACUUGCCGAUUGAGAGUUCAUUCCGGACUCCCGCUCGUAGAUCGAAUGAACGUCCGUGUGAUAAUAGACAUACUUGGUUAUUAACAUCCUAAUAAGCCGUUAUACUUAGUUGUUAGAUUAAUGGUUCGGAGUUCUCGUAUGGGGAUCCGUGAUUUCAGGAUAAGAUUUCCAAAGUAAUUUUGGAUAAUCUUUCGUUUCUUAGCUGAAUUUUGUCGUGAGAUUUCAUGGUAUAAACUAAAAUUAGCAACUGCGUCUUUUACUAAAUAUUCUAAUAAAUUUACUAUCCGUAAGUUGUCUGCUUGGUAGCUAUCACAAAGAUUUUCUAUGGCGACUACAUCAAGAGAUUUACGAAGCUGUGAAACAUUCAGACACAAAUAAACGAUGAAAAGUUAAAGCAAAGUAACAAAAUCAAAACUAGACCCAACAUAUCAAAAGUAAGCUUCAAUUAGUACUGAUAGUAGAUAGUCAAUUCAAAUCAUUGAAUGGUUAAUUGAACGUAAAGACGAACUAAGUGCUCAAACCUGUUCGUAGCUUUCAGUUCACAUUUCAUUCGCUAAGGAUUCAGUUAUCGGAUGAUUUAUUGGAUCUCUCCACACCGUCAGUGUCUAAUUGUAAGGACUCUCAGACUCGCACUCAAGCAUGUUAGUGAGUUCUACUUAAAUUAAUAUCUAACACUUGAAUUCAAAUGCCUGUAGUUGAACUUUGAAGAGGAUGAAUUUGAAUAUAGAAUUAAUGAUGUUAAUCGAAACUUUGGAUCAUUAUUUAAAUUUUGGAAAAAGGUUUGGUUUUAUUUUGAUUGGUUAGAUGAAUUAAAUAUUGUUGUGUACAAAGAGAUUGGAAACUUUCACGAAAUUUCACCGCUAUAGUAUUGUCAUAGCACAUAAGAAGAAAAGCGAUUUUUAGAUGAGAACAAUGAAAUAUAAUUUUAUGUGAUAUAUAUGUAACAAAAAAAUACACGAUUUAAUAUAGUUUUACAGUCACCAGUACGGUAUGUGUAGCGAGAAAAGCAAUAUCGUAUUGUGUCAAAGAAAAAUAUUGCAACGCCGUUCGCGCGCAAUUUCGCGGCCAUUGCUAUUUCAUAUGGUGCAUAUUCCGUUCAUUUGUUCUGGUUUUUAGGGGUCCGUACAAAAAGAGCAGAGAGCAGGACCCAAUUAAUAAGUCUCCGUUUUUCGUCUAUCGCUAUAUCGGAGCCAUGUCUCAAUAACCAUGUUAGUUAGAUGUCAUUUUCACAAAUGAUUCAUCUCCUUAACCGAUGUUACAACAACAACUCAGCAUUCCUACCACCCUGCCUAUUUCGCCGUUAUGUGUUAAUCCAGGUUAUAAACUGUCUGCAUACCAAAUUUUGUCCAAAUCCGUUCAGUUGUUUUUGCGUUAAAAAGUAUCUGCUGUCUCUUCCAUCCAUACUUACAGACUUUUCCUUCCAUAACAUCAGCAGAACUUCAAAAAAUAAGCUUUUUGUCAAUUCGAUCGUUUGUUUUACAGAUAAUUUAAUGGUACGAAACCCUUCGUGCUUCAGCCCGACUCGCAUUUGUUCUGGUUUUUUGCAGAUGCUUUCAUGGCGUGAAUAUUCAUGCGCGCCGGUCGUCAUAAAUAUGUAAACACUUUCAACACUCCGCUGAGGUGUGGUUUGAGUUUUAAAGUCUAGAAAAUCUUGCAUUUGCCAACAAACACACAUUCCCCUAGAACCUACAAGCUUUCUGCUUGAUCCUUUCAAAAUACAAAGACAAAAUGCACGUGUUAGGGAAAUAUUCUAUUCUAUUACUAUUAUAUUAGCGCAUCAAUCGUUAAGUGUGUCAACCUCUUCGAUGUCCUCAAUAGAUAAAACGCUAGCUUAUAAGAUGGACGUCACAAAAUUUAGUAAACUAUUGUUAUUGAUAUUAUUCAUAGACGUAAUACGCUGCAAAUAUGGGUUAUCUUAAUGUGGCAUGAAAUGCUCAAAACGAGACGCAGUACCUCAAUAUCAUUACUUAACGACAAGUAAAAGAUUAAACAUAAAAUAUUUUAUUUAAAGACAGCGUUUAAAAUUACUCACAUAAUUUAGCUUCAGCAAAAUCCACGAUUACGUCAUACUCAUUUCAUUAUCACAUAAAGAAGAAUGGAGCGAGCUUGGCAACUUUAAAUAAUGAAAGUUUCAGCAUAAAUUGAGAGUUUCCAAAAUAGGGGCGCGCUAACGGCAACUCUAUCAGACCACCUGCGUCCAAGAUCUGAGAAUUUAGAUUAGUGCAUCACGAGUUGGCUUGUUCGCGGAAAGGCAACCUUCUCUCGAAGUUUUCUCCCGCGGAAAUCGUAUAAAUGUUAAUGAAAGUCAGACGUCUCUAAUGAGAUUACCGUUCCCGUGAAAUUGGAUUCGCGUGGGACUUCUUUAAUUUUCAUUCAACGCGAAAAUUAGGUAUAUUUGAGACCGACUCGCCUGCCAUCUGACUGAUUCACAUUGAGGCCUUACACGCUAAUUAUACCUGUUAACAGCGUCUAAUUCAUUUCAUGUUGCUCUUUGCAAGUUUUUUUCGUAUCGAGUUACUGUUUAAAAAUAUACGCGUUAUUAUUCCACGUGUUUGAAGCUUAAUUGGUGGGAGGUUUAGGUAAUACGCACGUAUGAAUAACGUAAGGUUCAAUCUCAUCUUCAAAUUUAUAUAGACGGGAGUCAACGUGUUCGCCGGUUCAAUCAAUCAGAAGUCUCGGCGCACGUCAUGAAUAUCACAGGCCAAGCUGUGCAAUAUUCACCCCUAUAUGAAGCUAUACAAACAUACUACAUAGCUACAUUUCCAUGGCACAUUUCCUCAAUGAUAUACGCACGUAUCUCCGAGUUUCCAAGUUAAACAUUUUUAUAUUUUACCUACCAAACUUUGAUAUUAACUGCUUCAAGUUGUUGGUUUUUUCUUUUAUAUUUCACAACUCAACGUAACUGUUUCAGACAUGUUGUAACUUAUUUAUGUUCACAUUAAGGUAAGUACUUAAUUCUCAAAGAGAAACGAACUUUUUAGCUUCCUACGUCUUUAUUGAGAGUUUAAAUAUUGUUUCUGUUCAUUGUAGUAAAAUAUGUAUAUUGUAUGUUUUGUGCAUACAUGUGUAUGAGUCUGCGGCCACACGGGGUUUGGAUGUUACACAUUAAUACGUAGAUACAUAGUAGAGUGGGCGCGGAGAAGCCUGGUCGUUGCGGCGGGUGAUCGCUCCGUGCGCCGCAAAUUGAGAGGCUAUCGGCUCAGUGCAAAUUGAAAGCGCUCCCAAAUUGCAGCAGACCUUUGUAUUUGUAACCAGGGCCGGAGCGUCGAGAAUCAAUCAAGGUAAUGGGGGUUUGUCCGAAUCUGCCAGGAUUAGUCGCGGGGAACAACCCUCGGCCACUAUGACAACAGUCUUUCCAAUCGCUCGAUACUGGCCCUCAGUAGAAUUGAUUGAAUGGCCUUUAUCCAUCCCUUAUUUGAAUUUAAAGUCGUGACUCCCAUAAUAAUCAAGUAAAUACAUUUCGGAUACCCCGUAGAUUAGAUUGAAAAUUGUGGUUAAUAGAAAGCUUAUUUUAAUUUGUAACUCUGCUCACGAACUGAAAAUUUUGGUGAUUUCAUAUUCAGUUAUUACUUUUGCCCACCUGGGUUAGAAAUGUUUUAUUAAAAAUAUGAUCGUCUAUUUAAAUGAUUCUACAAAGUUCAGUAAACUUUUGAUUUAAUAAUAUUGUGGUUUAUUUUCUACUUUGAGGUAAAAUAUUGAAAUCAAAUCGCAAAGCUUCAUUUCGCACGAAACUAGAACAUGCAACAUUAAUAGUCAUUGGUUUCGGGGAUCGACUGACAGCCGGAUCUAAAUCUAAAUGUUAAUGUUGAUGGCUACAGUGACGCCCAGUUUCCAUCUUCAUUAUUAAAAUGUUGUCUAUAUCUUCAGACCACGCCAACCAUUACUUUGUGUCUAAUCCCAUCAAUUCAUUGGGAUAAUUGGAUAAAUUGUAGAUGCAAACUGCAGCUUAGUUUAGCUUACGUGUCCACAAUAGUACAAGUGACCACGUAAGCCCAUAACGUGACCUCCACAAAGCAUUUACAGAUUGCGAGCGAGGCUGCGGUGUGCCGCAGCGGGGCACAAAGCUUUGGGAAAUGUUCGUACCCACUGGGCCUAACAAUUAGCGUAAUAGACGUUUGACCGACCGCCGCUCCUGCCUUUACUGUAAAUCACUGAAUGCACAAUUUGUACGCUUAAUCUGAUUCCAUCUUGUACCUGAUUGGUUGCGUCUUAUCUACAAUACAAGCAAAUGAAAAUAUUAGUCAGAUAUUGAAAAUGUAAAUUUGAUUGUUAAUAAAAACUGAGAGAUUUUAUUUCAAUUUAAUAACGUUAGCCAUGAAAAAGAGAGGACCAAGAAACCGAGCUCAAUGUUUUAACAAAGUAGAUACGUAAUUGUGUGCUACAUAGCCAAACUUUCCUUUGUCUGAAACAAUGAGUUUCAGAGAGGCAGCUCGCGUCUGUCUAGACUAGACUAGGGACAGUUGGUAUUGGGGACAGGGUAGAGCCGCAUACGAAUGAAGAAUGGUGAACUGGGGACAACACGAACGUAUCGCUUUGUCACGUCACCGCUGCGCCGCUUAACGGUAACCGACGAUAUUUUACACUCGGAAAUCUUUAUACUUGCUUGCAAAACUGUUGGAUAGCUAUAAUAUAUCUCUUGUUUCAUUCAAAAACAUGGAGGUACUUACACAUUAAAAAAGGAAAAGUCAAAAGAUAAAUAAAAAAACAAAGCCGUGAUUCCGAAAGUAAAACAAAAACUGGAUGAAAUCUUUCGUUAACAUGCAUCAAAAGCAUUUGCUUUUGAUGAAAGUUAAAUGAGCAGGUACGUUUUUCAAGGAGAUUAAAAUGGGACAAAAUAAAGCAACUCUUAGCUUAACCCCCGCUUUCAUUAUAAAAACUGGACAUUCCACCUUUGAAACACAUCGCAUUGUGAAUGACCCUCUUUUGAGAGUCCUUUCAAAAACCGCAAUAGUGCUAAUUAAGUGUGAAAUGUUCUCCUAACUACCUCUCUAUUUUAUGAACAAAAAGCUAGUAUACUCCUUUGUUCAACAAAGAUGGAAGGCUGCAUCUAAUUUGUUGCUUGUAGUUGAGCUUCUGAUUUAUAGCGGAGUGUAGUUAUAAACAAAAACUGUUAAAGUUAAGGGAUCUGGCUCGCGUUAGCUUGGCUGCGAUGCCCAGUUAGAAAUUGCGAGACUCUAAUACAGCAGGAACUGUAAACGGCGACGCUCGGCGAAAGUUUAUAAUCAAUUCAAUCCCGUGACGUUACGUGUUUGUGUAGUUCGUUGUUUCACAACAAGACAACUUUGGUGCUGGCAUUUUCGUUUCCCGUAAAAAUGUUGGUACAGUUUUUAAUACACGGCAUGAGUAUACGAAAUUCUAAUGUAGCACAUUCAUCCAAAAAUGACUUGCUGUAACUGUCUGUGGUGUACCCCAGUUUUAGGAAACGAAAGCAUGAAUUUUGGAAUUUUGCCGCUUGGGUAAACGCUUUGUACUUGGCAGUUACUAUGCGAAUUAAAAAAGAAAUACUUGUUGCUGUAACAGACAAUUAUUCGCAGAAUUACGUAGCCUGUUCAGAAAUCCAAUCUUCCAGUUACAGUUGUUCAGGUAAACUUUGGAUUCCAUUAAGAAGUCUCUUACUUUUCCAUACUUUUUGAAGUUAUGGAUGUGCGAAGUAAUAACAAAGAAGUUUUCUGUCCUUUGGUUUUCAUGUAUCGGUAUCUUCAGUUUUGUUUUCACCUACAAUAGUCUCGUCAUUCCCUUAAUAAACUGGUUGGACGGGUGUUGAUCAGCACCGCUGUCAAUUUCGUGGCGAAUUUAUUGAUUGAUUCGAUUGAGCUGGAACAAAACUCAAUUUGUCUUAUCCCACGCUUAUCCUGCUGAUGUUAUUUUUUGUUUUAUAAGCUAUCGUGACGUUUUUCGUUUGUUCUGUAGUUUUAUUAUUCGAAAUGGAUUUUUAACACGCGGUAAGGCCUGCGUAAAAUAAAAUAAUAAUAAAUGAUUAAUGCUUGAUUUUAUUUGUAUGGAAGAGUUUAUUUACUGAGCAGGAAAACAAAAUAAAAACUGAGAAGUGAUACAAUAUUAAGAAGAUACCUAUCAAGGCGAUAUUACCUAUAUAUUGGAACAGGAAAUUAUUUCGUUCGUAUUUACUUGAAAG